GAUAUCUACAAAGCUCAUAAUACACCAUUACAUUCAUUGUACAUUGUUUGACAUCUAAAAUAUUUUUGCAAAAAAAUAACUUAACUUUUUCAAUAUUGAAAUACUCUGUCAUUACUGAAUCAUUUUUAGUCACAAAUAGUAAACCUAUUGAAUUAUUUUGUCAUUACUGACACAUUUUAGUCUCAAAUAGUAAACCUAGAAAUACACUGUCAUUACCGACUCAUUUAAGUCAAUAAUAAUCCAAUUGAAUUAUUUUGUUAUUACUGACUCAUUUUAGUCUCAAAUAGUAAACCAAUUGAAAUACACUGUCAGUACCGACUCAUUUUAGUCACCAAUAAUCCAAUUGAAUUAUUUUGUCAUUACUCAUA
rnacentral:lncRNA from 1 species